GAUGAACGCUGGCGGCGUGCCUAAUACAUGCAAGUCGAGCGAACAGACGAGAAGCUUGCUCCUCUGAUGUUAGCGGCGGACGGGUGAGUAACACGUGGAUAACCUACCUAUAAGACUGGGAUAACUUCGGGAAACCGGAGCUAAUACCGGAUAAUAUAUUGAACCGCAUGGUUCAAUAGUGAAAGACGGUUUUGCUGUCACUUAUAGAUUGAUCCGCGCCGCAUUAGCUAGUUGGUAAGGUAACGGCUUACCAAGGCGACGAUGCAUAGCCGACCUGAGAGGGUGAUCGGCCACACUGGAACUGAGACACGGUCCAGACUCCUACGGGAGGCAGCAGUAGGGAAUCUUCCGCAAUGGGAGAAAGCCUGACGGAGCAACGCCGCGUGAGUGAUGAAGGUCUUCGGAUCGUAAAACUCUGUUAUUAGGGAAGAACAAAUGUGUAAGUAACUAUGCACGUCUUGACGGUACCUAAUCAGAAAGCCACGGCUAACUACGUG
rnacentral:rRNA from 1 species